rnacentral:lncRNA from 1 species
CUCACACCAAAGAGCUCUUUUUGAAAAUUUUGGAAUGCCCAAAAUUGGGUUGGGCGUGGACUCUAUGGCUCCUCCUCUACUUGGAUGAAUACCCUAGCCCUAGUCUACAAAAGGGUAGAUCCUCUCUUUGGCAUCAUAUCAAAAGUCUCUUGCUGGUUUUUAUUUUUUUAGAGCUUCUUCACUUCUUCCUCUCUUUCUCCUCUAGAUCUCUUCAUCAUUUAGAGCAUCCAAGGUAUUUGAAGAAGAAGGAAGAAAUCAGCCUCCAUGUUUUCUUGCAAGC